ACGUCUCUAGCUUUGUUCAUUUCUGAACAGUAUGUAAAGGUGAACAUUUGAAAAGCUUGCACAAUUAAAAUAUGUACAAUAAGUAGUUCAAUGAUUAUAGAUGGACGCUGCAAAAUUGCUUUCUCACUAUUAAAUGUGUAAAAUGUAAAGAACGAAUAGGUUACUAGAGAAAAUGUCAAACCAAACAUUACUUGUCACUGCGUUUUAAUCAAUUAAAAGAAUAAACGGCUAGAAAAUUCUUUCCUGAUGGAAACUCACGAAAAUCUACAUUUACUAUUCUUAGAAUGUAAAUUGGGUAAAUUUGCUUUCGUGCGAUAGCUUGCAAAGUGCAAUCCACGCAUAGAGAAAAUAUAAACUGUAUUCGCCAAAUUCAAUGCAAUGAGCUCGACUGAAAAGGCGUUGACCGGAAAGAAUCGAUCCCAACAUCUAGAAAGAUGCUAGUCAAUUCCUUAAAAAAAGAUCUUUUCAGAGGAUGCUAAUUUAUUUUCAAACUACAAUAGAAUAUCCAAACCAUCAUCUAGCUC
rnacentral:lncRNA from 1 species